rnacentral:ncRNA from 1 species
AAAGACUUAGUCCUAACCUUACCGUUGAUUGUUGCCAGACAUAUACAUGCAAGUAUCUGCGAUCCAGUGUAAAUGCCCUCUACCUACAACAUCGAGGCAGAGGAGCGGACAUCAGGCACACCUGCUAGCGGUAGCCCAAAACGUCUUGCUCGGCCACACCCCCACGGGUACUCAGCAGUAAUUAACAUUAAGCAAUAAGUGAAAACUUGACUUAGUCAUGGCAGUCCCAAGGGUUGGUAAAUCUUGUGCCAGCCACCGCGGUCACACAAGAAACCCAAAUUAACCGUAACACGGCGUAAAGAGUGGCUCAACGUUAUCCUUACAACUAAGAUUAAAAUGUAACUGAGCUGUCAUAAGCCCAAGUUGCAUAUAAAAUCACUCUGAAAACAAUCUUAGCAACCUCGACCAAUAAAACCCACGAAAGCUAAGGCACAAACUGGGAUUAGAUACCCCACUAUGCUUAGCCUUAAAUCUAGGUACUUACUCUACCAAAGUAUCCGCCUGAGAACUACGAGCACAAACGCUUAAAACUCUAAGGACUUGGCGGUACCCCAAACCCACCUAGAGGAGCCUGUUCUGUAAUCGAUAACCCACGAUACACCCAACCGCUCCUUGCCAAAACAGCCUACAUACCGCCGUCGUCAGCUUACCUUCAUCUGAGAGUACAACAGUAAGCAUAACAGCCUCAUACCACGCUAACAAGACAGGUCAAGGUAUAGCCCAUGGAGCGGAAGAAAUGGGCUACAUUUUCUAAGCUAGAAAACCACGAAAGGGGGUGUGAAAUCACCCCUAGAAGGCGGAUUUAGUAGUAAAGCAGGAUAAUAAAGCCUGCUUUAAACUGGCUCUGGGGUACGUACAUACCGCCCGUCACCCUCUUCACAAGCUACUAACUCUAUAAUUAAUACAACACCCAGCUGAAGAUGAGGUAAGUCGUAACAAGGUAAGUGUACCGGAAGGUGCACUUAGCAUAC